rnacentral:rRNA from 1 species
AUUGAACGCUGGCGGCAGGCUUAACACAUGCAAGUCGAGCGGGGUGAUGGUGCUUGCACUAUCACUUAGCGGCGGACGGGUGAGUAAUGCUUAGGAAUCUGCCUAUUAGUGGGGGACAACAUCUCGAAAGGGAUGCUAAUACCGCAUACGUCCUACGGGAGAAAGCAGGGGAUCACUUGUGCCCUUGCGCUAAUAGAUGAGCCUAAGUCGGAUUAGCUAGUUGGUGGGGUAAAGGCCUACCAAGGCGACGAUCUGUAGCGGGUCUGAGAGGAUGAUCCGCCACACUGGGACUGAGACACGGCCCAGACUCCUACGGGAGGCAGCAGUGGGGAAUAUUGGACAAUGGGGGGAACCCUGAUCCAGCCAUGCCGCGUGUGUGAAGAAGGCCUUAUGGUUGUAAAGCACUUUAAGCGAGGAGGAGGCUCUUUUGGUUAAUACCCAAGAUGAGUGGACGUUACUCGCAGAAUGAGCACCGGCUAACUCUGUGCCAGCCGCCGCCGUAAGAC